GAUGAACGCUAGCUACAGGCUUAACACAUGCAAGUCGAGGGACCGGCGCACGGGUGAGUAACACGUAUCCAACCUGCCCUUUACUCGGGGCUAGCCUUUCGAAAGAAAGAUUAAUACCCGAUAUAAAGGAUGGGGAUGCGUUCCAUUAGGUUGUUGGUGAGGUAACGGCUCACCAAGCCUUGGAUGGAUAGGGGUUCUGAGAGGAAUGUCCCCCACAUUGGAACUGCGACACGGCCCAAACUCCUACUGGAGGUAGCAGUGAGGAAUAGUGGUCAAUGGGCGCUAGCCUGAACCAGCCAAGUAGCGUGAAGGAUGACGGCUUAUGGGUCGUAAACUUCUUUUAGAUAAGAAUAUGUAUUAUAUGAAUAAGUAGCGACUAACUCCGUGCCAGCAGCCGCGGUAAUUC
rnacentral:rRNA from 1 species